rnacentral:rRNA from 1 species
UACGUAGGGUGCAAGCGUUGUCCGGAAUUAUUGGGCGUAAAGAGCUCGUAGGCGGUUUGUUGCGUCGGCUGUGAAAUCCCGAGGCUCAACCUCGGGUCUGCAGUCGAUACGAGCAAACUAGAGUGUUGCAGGGGAGACUGGAAUUCCUGGUGUAGCGGUGAAAUGCGCAGAUAUCAGGAGGAACACCGGUGGCGAAGGCGGGUCUCUGGGCAACAACUGACGCUGGAGGAGCGAAAUGCGUGGGGAGCGAACAGG